rnacentral:rRNA from 1 species
CGGCGGACGGGUGAGUAACACGUGGAUAACCUACCUAUAAGACUGGGAUAACUUAGGGAAACCGGAGCUAAUACCGGAUAAUAUAUUGAACCGCAUGGUUCAAUAGUGAAAGACGGUUUUGCUGUCACUUAUAGAUGGAUCCGCGCCGCAUUAGCUAGUUGGUAAGGUAACGGCUUACCAAGGCAACGAUGCGUAGCCGACCUGAGAGGGUGAUCGGCCACACUGGAACUGAGACACGGUCCAG